UCCAGGUGGUCGCCUUCGCCACUGGUGUUCCUUCCUAUAUCUACGCAUUUCACCGCUACACAGGAAAUUCCACCACCCUCUACCAUACUCUAGCUUGUCAGUUUUGAAUGCAGUUCCCAGGUUGAGCCCGGGGCUUUCACAUCCAACUUAACAAACCACCUACGCGCGCUUUACGCCCAGUAAUUCCGAUUAACGCUUGCACCCUCUGUAUUACCGCGGCUGCUGGCACAGAGUUAGCCGGUGCUUAUUCUGUCGGUAACGUCAAAACAGCAACGUAUUAAGUUACUGCCCUUCCUCCCAACUUAAAGUGCUUUACAAUCCGAAGACCUUCUUCACACACGCGGCAUGGCUGGAUCAGGCUUUCGCCCAUUGUCCAAUAUUCCCCACUGCUGCCUCCCGUAGGAGUCUGGACCGUGUCUCAGUUCCAGUGUGACUGAUCAUCCUCUCAGACCAGUUACGGAUCGUCGCCUUGGUGAGCCAUUACCUCACCAACUAGCUAAUCCGACCUAGGCUCAUCUGAUAGCGCAAGGCCCGAAGGUCCCCUGCUUUCUCCCGUAGGACGUAUGCGGUAUUAGCGUCCCUUUCGAGACGUUGUCCCCCACUACCAGGCAGAUUCCUAGGCAUUACUCACCCGUCCGCCGCUGAAUCAGAGAGCAAGCUCUCUUCAUCCGCUCGACUUGCAUGUGUUAGGCCUGCCGCCAGCGUUCAAU
rnacentral:rRNA from 1 species